UUGGGGGCCUACGGGAGGCAGCAGUAGGGAAUCUUCCGCAAUGGGCGAAAGCCUGACGGAGCAAUGCCGCGUGAGUGAAGAAGGCCUUCGGGUCGUAAAACUCUGUUAUAAGAGAGGAACAAAUUGUAGAGUAACUGCUACAGUCUUGACGGUAUCUUAUCAGAAAGCCACGGCUAACUACGUGCCAGCAGCCGCGGUAAUACGUAGGUGGCAAGCGUUGUCCGGAUUUAUUGGGCGUAAAGGGAGCGCAGGUGGUUUCUUAAGUCUGAUGUGAAAGCCCACGGCUUAACCGUGGAGGGUCAUUGGAAACUGGGAAACUUGAGUACAGAAGAGGAAUGUGGAACUCCAUGUGUAGCGGUGGAAUGCGUAGAUAUAUGGAAGAACACCAGUGGCGGAGGCGACAUUCUGGUCUGUUACUGACACUGAGGCUCGAAAGCGUGGGGAGCAAACAGGAUUAGAUACCCUGGUAGUCCACGCCGUAAACGAUGAGUGCUAGGUGUUGGAGGGUUUCCGCCCUUCAGUGCCGCAGUUAACGCAUUAAGC
rnacentral:rRNA from 1 species